rnacentral:tRNA from 1 species
GCCGAAGUGGCGAAAUGGCAGACGCGCUAGACUCAAAAUCUUGUACCCGCAAGGGUGUGGGGGUUCAAGUCCCCCCUUCGGCA